rnacentral:rRNA from 1 species
ACUUAAGCAUAUCAAUAAGCGGAGGAAAAGAAACUAACAAGGAUUCCCCUAGUAACUGCGAGUGAAGCGGGAAAAGCUCAAAUUUAAAAUCUGGCAGCUUUGGCUGUCCGAGUUGUAGUCUGGAGAAGUGUUUUCUGUGCUGGACCGUGUACAAGUCUCUUGGAACAGAGCGUCGUAGAGGGUGAGAAUCCCGUCUUUGACACGGACUCCCAGUGCUUUGUGAUGCGCUCUCAAAGAGUCGAGUUGUUUGGGAAUGCAGCUCAAAAUGGGUGGUAAAUUCCAUCUAAAGCUAAAUAUUGGCGAGAGACCGAUAGCGAACAAGUACCGUGAGGGAAAGAUGAAAAGCACUUUGGAAAGAGAGUUAAACAGUACGUGAAAUUGCUGAAAGGGAAACGAUUGAAGUCAGUCGCGUUGGCCAGAACUCAGCCUGGCUUUUGCCUGGUGCAUUUUCUGGUUGACGGGCCAGCAUCAAUUUUGAUCGCUGGAUAAAGGCCUUGGGAAUGUGGCACCUUCGGGUGUGUUAUAGCCCUUGGUUGUAUACAGUGGUUGGGAUUGAGGAUCACAGCAUGCCUUUAUGGCCGGGGUUCGCCCACGUUCAUGCUUAGGAUGCUGGCGUAAUGGCUUUAAACGACCCGUCUUGAAACACGGACCAAGGAGUCUAACAUGCCUGCGAGUGUUUGGGUGGAAAACCCGAGCGCGCAAUGAAAGUGAAAGUUGGGAUCCCUGUCGCGGGGAGCACCGACGCCCGGACCAGACCUUCUGUGACGGAUCCGCGGUAGAGCAUGUAUGUUGGGACCCGAAAGAUGGUGAACUAUGCCUGAAUAGGGUGAAGCCAGAGGAAACUCUGGUGGAGGCUCGUAGCGAUUCUGACGUGCAAAUCGAUCGUCAAAUUUGGGUAUAGGGGCGAAAGACUAAUCGAACCAUCUAGUAGCUGGUUCCUGCCGAAGUUUCCCUCAGGA